rnacentral:lncRNA from 1 species
AUCUCUCUUCCUCCUUUACUCGAUUAAAAAAAAAAAACAUUCAGCUCUUAAAAAAAAAAUUCCGGCGAAACUUACUCUCCACACUCGCCGGCGCAUUCUUUGCCAUCUCCGGGAUCAUCUCCGUUUUCGUCGUCGCCGGCGAUUUCUUUGCCUUCUCUGUGGUCGGCGCCAUCGUGUCCAAAGUCACUUGAAUCUUCUUCAAUCACCGUCGUGACCACUCAUCUCAACCUCCCUUCCUUCUCCGCCACCAAAACCGCCAAGGUUUUUUAUCUAUAUUAUAUCUGUGGUGUAGCUUCUUAAUGGAAACCGAUGAAGGCAUCACGAACAUUAAUAAGGAGUAUCCGAAGCGCUUAUUCAGACAUGGUAGAGAGCCUCUUGUUGGAAAAGUCAACAACUUCUGCAAAACAGCUCUCCUCAAGAGAAUCAAGAAAGCUAUGCCACUAGAGUAUAAGGAAGUGAAGAGUGAUCCUCUGUUUGCACAUGUCUUUGCCAUAUUUGAAAACCGUUUAGGAUACUCUGUUUGCAUAGCUUACUGUCUAGACAGUUGGUAACUAGGAAGAAACAUGAACUCUGGUUUGUGUUUGGAAACAAGCCUCUUCGAUUUUCUAUGCAAAUACCAUGAGAUGCCAAUGGAUAGAUUUUUUCAAGCGAUUUAGUGAUCGAGAAAUGCCUAUCUGACACAAAAGCUAAGUCUUCUUCAUCCGCUAUGAGUUUCUUAAGUUGUAUAAAAAACCAUUGCCAUGAAGAAUCAUUCUCGGAAUCAGCAACUCCAAAUGCAAUUGGAUACAAAUUGGAGUUACCAUCUACUGCUGUAGCUACCAACAUAACUCCUUUGUAUUUGCUUUUCAAAAACGUACCGUCAACCACAAUCACUUUCCGAAUAGGCUUGUAAAACCCUCUAAUAGACUGACCGAAAGAUAUAAAUAGAUAUUUGAAUCUAUUCUCACCAUC